GGGGGUGUGGCUCAGUGGUAGAGUGUCUGCUUUUCAUGUAGAGGAUCCCAGGGUCAAUUCCUGGUACCUCCA